rnacentral:rRNA from 1 species
CCCUUAGAUGUUCUGGGCCGCACGCGUGCUACACUGAGUGGAUCAGCGGGUCAGGUUGCGCGAAAGCGUUUCCUAAUCUUUAAAUCCGCUCGUGAUGGGGAUUGACGGUUGCAAUUUUCUGUCAUGAACGAGGAAUACCUUGUAAGCGCGGGUCAUCAUCCCGCGCUGAAUACGUCCCUGCCCUUUGUACACACCGCCCGUCGCUCCUACCGAUUGAGUGGUCCGGUGAGGCUUUGGGAUCUGAGCGGAAAGAGCGUUUCGCUGUUUCUUCUCGGAAAACUCAGUCGAACCUUAUCAUUUAGAGGAAGGAGAAGUCGUAACA